AUCUGUGUCCUCCAUAGAUGGAGCUCACAUCACGGAGCUCAUGAGAAGCUGAGUGCCAGCUACCACACACACAUUCAGACAUUUGCUGUCGGGCCACGGGCCAUGCUGAUGGAGAAAAGCAUUGUUGGUGCUCUGAGGGUGUCAGCCAGGCCACUCAUGCAGACCAUUGCGGCAGCACUGAAAAUGGAAGAAAGAUGGGAUUCUGCUGUCUUUUGUUUUGGCUGAUGAACAGCACCGAGAUGGAGUGGCUCCAGCAGCCAGAACAAGCCACCAUCUCCCCUGGGCUUUCACAGUAGCCUCCUGACUGGUCUUGUUGCUUCCACACUUACACUUCCUGUUCUCUGCAAGGCAGCCAGAGUGACCUUUCACUAAUCCUUGUAUGACCUCUGAAAAUAUGACCUGAAGCAGAUGGAUGCACUCACAUAAGAAACAUCACCUGUGGCCUUCAUCGAAAAUGGGCCUGCUGCUUGAAGAAGUUGGGCUCUUGGAGUUCUCUAGCACAGGGGCCAUGAAAAUCAAUGACUUCCUUGUUUGCUGACGGAGCAGAGGUAGAAUCUCUUGGUGUUUCCACGGAGAAAACACUGACCAUGAAGAGCCAAGAAAGAUGACAUGAUGAAGCCAUCAGGGGAAGCACCAAACAUCCUCAACUCUGCUCACCCAUGGUUUUCUCCCGCCCUCCCAGAGCUCCUCCUGCUGGCCUUCAUUGGCAUCACCAGCACUGGAGCUAUUCCAGUGAGGAUUUUUGCUGCGGCACAUCACGGAGUGGCAUGAGAGGUCAGAGAACUCCUAGUAUCCCCCAAAUAUCCAUUCUGUUCUUCUUCCUUAGUGAUGGGCCCCCGACAUGAAACUGGCACUCAGAAUGAAGAAUGCCUUUUCCAGCCUCCCUCGCUGGUGGAGUCUCCGUGUUCCAGCCAAUGAAAGGAGGAAGCCUGGACAGCCUGCAGUUGAGGGGACCUGCACAAGCUCACAGGACUCUUCAUCACCAUGACACCACGCUCACCGCAAAAUAAAAAUGAUCAAACCUGUCAUGAUGUCAGCAGCACCGGUGUUGGUCUUUGUGGGAAAGAAAAACACAGGCCAGGGCUGCAGCACGAUUGUGUCUGCCCAGCUCUUGCAGCCUGGAGAACACCGUUGGAUUCCCUCCCACACAUGCUCCCAGGCUGCCUGCCUGCCUCACUUACCUGCUCAGGGUGGGGCUUGAGGGUGGCCCCUGGGAAGAGUAAGAACUGGCCAAGACUGAGAUGUCCUUCCCUCAUUUAAGGUACCGCCUUUUCCCUUUUCCCGCCAUCCUGGGUGCAUGGAUACUUGGGAUUAGAAACUGGACUGGAAAUGUAAUCUUUCUUCGGUUUGGGGCUGAGAACUGGGGAUUAGUAGGAUUUUGAGUUUAUGGCACAGCCUUUUCUUACACCAUUUCCUAAAAAGCAGUUAAGAUUACACCAGGCACAGUGGCUUACGCCUAUAAUCUCAGCACUUUGGGAGGCUGAGGCAGGUGGAUCAAGACCAGCUUAACCAACAUGGUGAAACCCCAUCUCUACUAAAAAUACAAAAAUUAGCUGGGCGUGGUGGCACGCAUUUGUAGUCCCGGCUACUUGGGAGGCUGAGGCAGGAGAAUUCCUUGAACCCGGGAGGCGGAGGUUGCGGUGAGCUGAGAUUGCACCAUUGCACUCCAGCAGCCUGGGCAACAGCAACGAAAC
rnacentral:lncRNA from 10 species